CCUCCCUGGUGACCAGGCUUCAUAGAGGGCAUCACAACCCUCCCCGGUGACCAGGCUUCAUAGAGGGCAUCACAACCCUCCCUGGUGACCAGGCUUCAUAGAGGGCAUCACAACCCUCCCCGGUGACCAGGCUUCAUAGAGGGCAUCACAACCCUCCCUGGUGACCAGGCUUCAUAGAGGGCAUCACAACCCUCCUCCAUGCCCAUAAGGGAAUGUUGCUGUCUGUCAAGUCGACGAUCAAUAGAAACACAAGGGUUAUUAAUAUAUCAUCAGAAAGACUGCGAUCAUUGAUCCUUCCACAGAAAGAUUUCCCUACUGAGGGAUUGAGGCCAACGUUAAUGUCCAGGAGGAUAUUGAUUGGAUACAAAGGUCUAUGAUAGAUGUAGGUUGUGUGCCAUUUAGGAUGCUAUUUAGGAUGACAUUUAGAAUGCUAUUCAGGAUGCUAUUUAGGGUGCUAUUUAGGAUGCCAUUUAGGGUGCUAUUUAGGGUGCUAUUUAGGAUGCUAUUUAGGAUGAAUUACAUAUAAAAGCUACAAAAUGUCAUUCUCCAUAUGAAAUGCGGAUGGUAUUUGCUAUGGAAAUUAUCUACUGCCAUACACUGUAUGAAGUAUGCAUUCAGCAUUCUCAUACGGGAGGUUCAUCCAGGGAAUCUGUCACAACAUUCUCAUACGGGAGGUUCAUCCAGGGAAUCUGUCACAACAUUCUCUUACAGGAGGUUCAUCCAGGGAAUCUGUCACAACAUUCUCUUACGGAAGGUUCUUCCAGGGAAUCUGUCACAACAUUCUCUUACGGAAGGUUCAUCCAGGGAAUCUGUCACAACAUUCUCUUACGGGAGGUUCUUCCAGGGAAUCUGUCACAACAUUCUCUUACGGGAGGUUCUUCCAGGGAAUCUGUCACAACAUUCUCUUAUGGAAGGUUCUUCCAGGGAAUCUGUCACAACAUUCUCUUACGGAAGGUUCUUCCAGGGAAUCUGUCACAACAUUCUCUUACGGAAGGUUCUUCCAGGGAAUCUGUCACAACAUUCUCUUACGGAAGGUUCUUCCAGGGAAUCUGUCACAACAUUCUCUUACAGAAGGUUCUUCCAGGGAAUCUGUCACAACAUUCUCUUACGGAAGGUUCUUCCAGGGAAUCUGUCACAACAUUCUCUUACAGAAGGUUCUUCCAGGGAAUCGGUCACAACAUUCUCUUACGGAAGGUUCAAUGGUUUUUCAUAUUUAAACGAGUUUCUUUGACGUUUUAAACACAAUGGAUAUUUCUUUGCACGUAGAGAGUCUAGGAUUAUGAAGGUAUAUACAUUAAAUGAAUGUACAGUGACCUCACAUAGAUAGGAAAACUACAGUAGAGCUAACAAUGCAGUAAAAAUAUAUCUAAAUGUUCAGACAGAAAGUUCCAGGGUUAGAGAGAACAACCUCACUCUACAGACCAGGGUGAUAUGUUACAUAGCUGUGAACAGGACCUCGUUGGGUUGGCAAAUGGACAUGACAAAUGGGUAUUUUAACGGGCUAACAAGUAUUGGUAGCCGCUGCUGUCAUUAACAACACUGGACCUAUGUUUAAACUCAUGUCUAAAAUGGCAUCCUAUUCCCUACAUAAUGCACUACUUUAGACCGGGACCCUAUCCCCUAUAUAGUGCACUACUUUAGACCAGAGCCCUAUUCCCUAUGUAGUGCACUACUUUAGACCAGGGCCCUAUUCGAUAUAUAGUGCACUACUUUAGACCAGGGCCCUAUUCCCUACAUAGUGCACUACUUUAGACCAGGGCCCUAUUCCCUACAUAGUGCACUACUUUAGACCAGGACCCUAUCCCCUAUAUAGUGCACUACUUCAAACCAGAGCCCUAUUCCCUAUGUAGUGCACUACUUUAGACCAGAGCCCUAUCCCCUAUAUAGUGCACUACUUUAAACCAGAGCCCUAUAUAGUGCACUACUUUAGACCAGAGACCUAUUCCCUAUAUAGUGCACUACUAUAGACCAGAGCCCUAUUCCCUAUGUAGUGCACUACUAUAGACCAGAGCCCUAUUCCCUAUAUAGUGGUACUACUAUAGACCAGAGCCCUAUUCCCUAUAUAGUGGUACUACUUAGACCAGGCCCUAUUCCCUAUAUAGUGGUACUACUUUAGACCAGGGCCCUAUUCCCUAUAUAGUGCACUACUUUAGACCAGGGCCCUAUUCCCUAUAUAGUGCACUACUAUAGACCAGAGCCCUAUUCCCUAUAUAGUGCACUACUUUAAACCAGAGCCCUAUAUAGUGGUACUACUAUAGACCAGAGCCCUAUUCCCUAUAUAGUGGUACUACUAUAGACCAGAGCCCUAUUCCCUAUAUAGUGCUACUACUUAGACCAGGGCCCUAUUCCCUAUAUAGU
ensembl:lncRNA